GCCCGGGUGGCGGAAUUGGCAGACGCGCUCGUUUCAGGUGCGAGUAUUUAACAGAUGUGCAGGUUCAAGUCCUGUUCCGGGUA
rnacentral:tRNA from 1 species